rnacentral:rRNA from 1 species
CAGCCGCCGCGGUAACCCCGCGCCGAAGUGGGAACCACGCUUAUUGGGUCUAAAGCAUCCGUAGCCGGUUCUGCAAAUGCCCUGUGAAAUCGUUGCGCUUAACGUAACGGCUGGCAGGGAUAACUACUAACUUGGAGAUGGGGGAGGUAAGAGGGUAUUCCUGAGGGACGGUGAAAUGCUUUAAUCUCAGGAGGACCCCCAAUGCGAAGGCGGUCUUCUAAUAUGGAUCUGACGGUGAGGGAUGAAAGCUGGGGGAGCGAUCCGGAUUAAUACCCGGGUAGUCCUAGCCGUAAACGCUGCUACUCGAUGUUACACAGUCUUAGGGAUUGUGUAAUGUCAAAACGAAGGUGUUAAGCUUGCCACCUGGGAAGUACGGUCGAAGGCUGAAACUUUGGGAAUUGACAGA